rnacentral:rRNA from 1 species
CGUGUAGGCGGUCAAGUAAGUGGAAUGUGAAAUGCCUCGGCUUACCCGGGGACCGUGCAUCCCAAACCUGCUUGGCUUGAGUAUGGGAGAGGAUGAGGGAAUUCCUGGUGUAGCGGUGAAAUGCGUAGAUAUCAGGAGGAACACCGGUGGCGAAAGCGCUCAUCUGGCCCAAUACUGACGCUGAGGCGCAAAGCUAGGGGAGCAAACG